AUUGAACGCUGGCGGCAUGCCUUACACAUGCAAGUCGAACGGCAGCGCGGACUUCGGUCUGGCGGCGAGUGGCGAACGGGUGAGUAAUGUAUCGGAACGUACCAUUCAGUGGGGGAUAACGCAGCGAAAGUAGCGCUAAUACCGCAUAUUCUGUGCGCAGGAAAGCAGGGGAUCGCAAGACCUUGCGCUGAUUGAGCGGCCGAUAUCAGAUUAGCUAGUUGGUGAGGUAAAGGCUCACCAAGGCGACGAUCUGUAGCGGGUCUGAGAGGAUGAUCCGCCACACUGGAACUGAGACACGGUCCAGACUCCUACGGGAGGCAGCAGUGGGAAUUUUGGACAAUGGGCGCAAGCCUGAUCCAGCCAUGCCGCGUGAGUGAAGAAGGCC
rnacentral:rRNA from 1 species